AUUAGAAAAAUUAAACAUAAUUAAUAAUUAAAACCAGAAAUAAAACAUUAAAUUCAAAAAUAAAUAAAUUUUGUAAGAAAAAACUUAAUACUUUAUGCAGUUGGUACAUCACCAAAAAUUGCAUCAAGUAGUGUGAUAAACUGUAAAUAACGUUGAACUCGCGAGUUUUCCGGAUUGCCUCUAUACAUAUAAAAAAGUUUCUUCAAGAUAUCCAAAUGAUUUUUAACACAUCUCCAACUCAAAAAUUUUCCAAACUGGUCGUGAAUGGAUGAAAGGAUAGAUCAUACUUACGUUUGAUUCUUGAUUUUGAUUUUGAUUUUCAUUAGUUUGGGUGGAUGACAUAAUUGAGAGAAUAUGGUUACAAUAUAUUGAUUAAGGUUUUCUAAUAAGAAUAAGAUAUAUAGGGUUUGGAUAGAAGACAUAAUUAUUUUAAUUAAUUAAAA
rnacentral:sRNA from 1 species